UAGGGAAUCUUCGGCAAUGGGGGGAACCCUGACCGAGCAACGCCGCGUGAGUGAAGAAGGUUUUCGGAUCGUAAAGCUCUGUUGUUAAGGAAGAACGAGUGUGAGAAUGGAAAGUUCAUGCUGUGACGGUACUUAACCAGAAAGGGACGGCUAACUACGUGCCAGCAGCCGCGGUAAUACGUAGGUCCCGAGCGUUGUCCGGAUUUAUUGGGCGUAAAGCGAGCGCAGGCGGUUAGAUAAGUCUGAAGUUAAAGGCAGUGGCUCAACCAUUGUAGGCUUUGGAAACUGUUUAACUUGAGUGCAGAAGGGGAGAGUGGAAUUCCAUGUGUAGCGGUGAAAUGCGUAGAUAUAUGGAGGAACACCGGUGGCGAAAGCGGCUCUCUGGUCUGUAACUGACGCUGAGGCUCGAAAGCGUGGGGAGCGAACAG
rnacentral:rRNA from 1 species